CGACAAACAAGCAACAAAUCCAGUCGAUACUGAAGAAAGGAAUAAGAAUGAACGCGCCAAAGAAACGGAGCCAGUUGUCCCGCAAUCACUUCUGAACGACAUCAUGAACAAUUUAGAGUAAUACUUUAUACUCUCAAUACUUUAGAACAUGAAGGUUAAGAAUGUAGAACAUCAUAGAUCAUUGUGUAGAACAUCAUAGAAAUUGGGUGCUUCUUGUUCUAGUUGAAGCUAUAUCAUGUUUGUUUGAUGAUAAUAUUGAGUAAUACUGUUAUUCUAUA